GAGGGUAUAGCUCAGUGGUAGAGUGCAUGCUUAGCAUGCAUGAGGUCCUGGGUUCAAUCCCCAGUGCCUCCU
rnacentral:tRNA from 1 species